GAUGAACGCUGGCGGCGUGCCUAAUACAUGCAAGUCGAGCGAACAGACGAGGAGCUUGCUCCUCUUACGUUAGCGGCGGACGGGUGAGUAAAACGUGGAUAACCUACCUAUAAGACUGGGAUAACUUCGGGAAACCGGAGCUAAUACCGGAUAAUAUAUUGAACCGCAUGGUUCAAUAGUGAAAGACGGUUUUGCUGUCACUUAUAGAUGGAUCCGCGCCGCAUUAGCUAGUUGGUAAGGUAACGGCUUACCAAGGCAACGAUGCGUAGCCGACCUGAGAGGGUGAUCGGCCACACUGGAACUGAGACACGGUCCAGACUCCUACGGGAGGCAGCAGUAGGGAAUAUUCCGCAAUGGGCGAAAGCCUGACGGAGCAACGCCGCGUGAGUGAUGAAGGUCUUCGGAUCGUAAAACUCUGUUAUUAGGGAAGAACAAAUGUGUAAGUAACUAUGCACGUCUUGACGGUACCUAAUCAGAAAGCCACGGCUAACUACGUG
rnacentral:rRNA from 1 species